CUCGAUCAGAGAACUGUUUUGUGAACGUAGUCGCCUUCUGCAGCAUCGCACGAGUUUAUUAACCCAGAGUACUAUGUUGGAUCCUAUCACCAUUGCAGCAAUCAUCAAGGGCGCAACAACCGUUUGGAGAGUAUAUCAACAAAGGAGAUUAGAGAAUAGGAUAAUGGAGAUGGAGCUACAAAUUCUGAUUCAAAUGCACAAUGAAUUGGAGAUGCAGAGGCAGAUGCUAGGGUACCCGGUCCGGCACUUCCACCACUGAUGGACCCAUGCAUGGGAUGGGAAAUGCUUUCUUUGUGUUUCUUCUCCUGUUUGAAUGCUUUCUUUGUGAUUCUUCUCCUGUUUGAAUGCUAUCUUUGUGUG